GACGAACGCUGGCGGCGUGCUUAACACAUGCAAGUCGAACGGAAAGGCCUGCUUUCCCUUGUGGAUUGCGGGUACUCGAGUGGCGAACGGGUGAGUAACACGUGAGUGAUCUGCCCCCAACUUGGGUAUAAGCCUGGGAAACUGGGUCUAAUUCCCGAUAGGACUGCAGGGUGGUGCCUGUGGUGGAAAACGAUUUUCUAGUGGUUGGGGAUGAGCUCGCGGCCUAUCAGCUUGUUGGUGGGGUAAUGGCCUACCAAGGCGGCGACGGGUAGCCGGCCUGAGAGGGUGGACGGGCACAUUGGGACUGGGACACGGCCCAGACGCAUACGGGAGGCAGCAGUGGGGAAUAAUGCACGAUGGGCGGAAGCCUGAUGCAGCGACGCCGCGUGGGGGAUGACGGCCUUCGGGUUGUAAACUCCUUUCGAGCGCGAGGAAGCCACCUGGUUGGAAGGGUGGUGACGGUAGUGGUAGAAGAAGCACCGGCUAACUACGUG
rnacentral:rRNA from 1 species